rnacentral:rRNA from 1 species
AGUGAACGCUGGCGGUAGGCCUAACACAUGCAAGUCGAACGGCAGCACAGUAAGAGCUUGCUCUUACGGGUGGCGAGUGGAGGACGGGUGAGGUAUACAUCGGACUCUACUUUUAGAAGGGGAGUAAACUGGGGAAAAUACUGCAAAUACGCCCUUGCACCACGGGGGGAAUUGGGGGGAUCUUGGGGCUUUGGAUGUUCGAGUGGCCCAUUGUCGGGUUGGUUGGUUGGCGGGGUACCGGCUCACCAAGGGGCCGGUCGGCAGCGGGUCUGAGAGGCUGAUCAGCCACACUGGAACUGAGAGACGGUCCAGACUCCGACGGGAGGCAGCAGUUGGUAAUAUUGGACAAUGGGCGGAAUCCUGCUCCAGCCAUACCGGGUUGGUGAAGCAGGCCCUCGGGUUGUAAAACCCUUUUGUUGGUAAAGAAAAGCAGCAGCUUAAUACCCCGCUGUUCUGACGGUACCCAAAGAAUAAGCACCGGCUAACUUCGUG